rnacentral:rRNA from 1 species
GCAUUUGCUCACACCACUGUGAACACAUCUGGUCUUGUCUGAUUUCAGCAGAUAAGCACGAUAGGGCCUGGUUAGCACUCAUGGGACACUACCACACAACGUUGGACAUACAGUGGU